rnacentral:rRNA from 1 species
AACGAACGCUGGCGGCAGGCUUAACACAUGCAAGUUGAACGCAUCCUUCGGGGUGAGUGGCAGACGGGUGAGUAACGCGUGGGAACGUGCCCUUCAGUUCGGGAUAACCCAGGGAAACUUUGGCUAAUACCGGAUACGUGCGAGAGCAGAAAGAUUUAUCGCUGAAGGAUCGGCCCGCGUCUGAUUAGCCAGUUGGUGGGGUAAUGGCCCACCAAGGCGACGACCAGUAGCUGGUCUGAGAGGAUGAUCAGCCACAUUGGUACUGAGACACUGCCCAACCUCCUACGGGAGGCAGCAGUGGGGAAUAUUAGACAAUGGGCGCAAGACGGAUCUAGCCAUGCCGCGUGAGUGAUGAAGGCCUUAGGGUUGUAAAGCUCUUUCGUCCGGGACGAUAAUUCCGGUACCGGAAGAAGAAGCCCCGGCUAACUUCGUGCCAGCCGCCGCUGUAA